rnacentral:lncRNA from 1 species
UGUUUGCAAAGUUUCUGUUUUAUGUAAAAACAUCUUGACUUCUAUAGCAACAUUAUUUUUAAGGAUGCAUGGUCAUAUUUUGUUGACAUAAACUGUGCUGCAAUAUUCUACUAGAUUCUUUACAUUUCUUUUAGGUUGGAAACUUGGCCCAAAGCUGAGGCUCUUUGAAGCUAUGGUAUUGCAAUCAAAUUCUUGAUGUAAUGAAGCAACGCCCGUGUGUGUAGGUCCAUGCACACAUAUGUCUGCUGGGCUCCAGUCAAGUACAUUGUCCCUCCUGAUCACGACUGCUCUGAAGGCAGGGUAGCUGUCUGA